GUUUGUGUUAGAAUUGGAGUUUGAAUAUUACUUCAUGGAUGGAUCACUGACCACUGCAAUAUGAGGUCCAGACCAUCUCACCUCUUGAUUUGCCAGGGGGCUCUAAGGGAGAAUAUUGCCAGCAGACAACUCAAGAUUUUUAUGCAGUGGCUGAGAGGCUGGAAAAGAAGAGUAUAGCUGGGGAGAGAGGCAUUUGAAUGACAAUUCAUUCACCUUUCCUCUCAGUCCUUGUCUUCCUCAUGUACAAUGGCUGAUCAAUGAUACUGGUAUGUAUAGCUGUCACUAUUAAAAGGCACACCGGACAACAGACCAUACAGUUACCAUGGCAACAAACAGUAGCCACCAUUUUCUUCUAUUCUUCAAGAUAUCUGUAUCUCAAUUACCACUGUGUGGUCAACUGUGGCAAAUCCUGUUUUUGUUUUUAUUGGAGACCAUUGUAUGAUUUUAAGGUGUGAGUACCAUACAGUAAAGUGAGCAUAAAGGAAUCCUACAGGAGAUAAAAUGUCUCUAAGGCACAGAGACAAAUAAGAGCACUGCAGUGAAUUGAAAAUAAAGCUGUUGGAUAUGAAAUCUGAAUCAGGAGGCUUGCUGUGUAAGGACUGGGGCCUGAGACUGGUGCACCUAUUGGGAUAUAGACACAGAGUGCAAGCACCUCAUUUCUUGUAAUAUAUGUGUAGAAAACCCCAGAAUAAAGUAAGGCUAACAUUUAGUCUCUUCUGGAGUUUCCUGCUUUUCCUUUUGCUUGAGUGGCACUAACCUUAACAGGGCUGAGGAACAAACCACAACA